rnacentral:rRNA from 1 species
UACGAAGGGGGCUAGCGUUGCUCGGAAUCACUGGGCGUAAAGGGUGCGUAGGCGGGUCUUUUAAGUCAGGGGUGAAAUCCUGGAGCUCAACUCCAGAACUGCCUUUGAUACUGAAGAUCUUGAGUCCGGGGAGAGGUGAGUGGAACUGCGAGUGUAGAGGUGAAAUUCGUAGAUAUUCGCAAGAACACCAGUGGCGAAGGCGGCUCACUGGCCCGGUACUGACGCUGAGGCACGAAAGCGUGGGGAGCAACAGG